CCUACGGGAGGCAGCAGUGGGGAAUAUUGCACAAUGGGGGAAACCCUGAUGCAGCGACGCCGCGUGAGUGAAGAAGUCCUUCGUUAUGUAAAGCUCUAUCAGCAGGGACGAAAAUGACGGUACCUGAGUAAGCAGCCCCGGCUAACUACGUGCCAGCAGCCGCGGUAAUACGUAGGGGGCAAGCGUUAUCCGGAUUUACUGGGUGGAAAGGGAGCGUAGACGGCAGGUCAAGUCUGGAGUGAAAGGCGGGGGCUCAACCCCCGGACUGCUCUGGAAACUGUACGGCUGGAGUGCAGGAGAGGUAAGUGGAAUUCCUAGUGUAGCGGUGAAAUGCGUAGAUAUUAGGAGGAACACCAGUGGCGAAGGCGGCUUACUGGACUGUAACUGACGUUGAGGCUCGAAAGCGGGGGGAGCAAACAGGAUUAGAUACCCGAGUAGUC
rnacentral:rRNA from 1 species